rnacentral:lncRNA from 1 species
AUGCACACACUGACUGUGGCUUCCUUAGCGCAUAGGUAAGGGAAUUGCCUUUCCCUCUUUUGUGAAUUUUCUCAUUUCUGAAAAAUUCUAAGUCAUGAAGAUAAGCCCCAUCCUUUCUUACAAGGAUUGGAUUUCUUGGGUGACACUGUGGUGUGGUGGAAGCAAGCGGCUUCUCUCAGGUUCAUAAAGGCCAUCAUAACAACUUCAGGCUUCAUGGUGUGGACAGGGAUCCAGGACAGCUGAGUGGAUGUGUGAAGUUUCUGAUAGAUUCUGUCAUCAUUCUAAAGGAAUGUAGUUUCCUCCAGCUCAAUCAUUUGAAGUAAUACACAUUGCCAAAUAUGACUCUAACCUGACAUUUUAGACCUAUUGAAGAAAUAGGAAGAAAGCCCCUCCAGUGGAAGGACUGGACUUGGAAGAAGUUCUGCAGGAAGGUACAUGCAAUUGGAUAGCUGUUCAUGAGUGAAACGUGGGGAACAUUGCUAUGAAAUUGUAAGGUUUGCACUUCAUUUUUCAUAGUUUAAAAAUUGCUCUGUUCUGGCUGUUGAAAACACUUGGUGUGAGGUUUGAAUUGAGGAUUAUAUAAUCAUUCUAGUAUUCAUAGGAAAAUGAUUACUGCCCUCCAUUUGUAAAACAAAAGAAAUAACUUUCGGAAACAGUAUUUUAGACAUGAAGAAAUUGUUUGUAUUAUGUUAGGCAUUUUGAUCUAACAGAAUCAGCUAAGGAUAGUGGAUCCUGGCUUUACACAUUUCUUUGACCAAACCCAGCUGGCAACUUGAAGUUGUUAUUGUGUGGCUUCCAGGUUGCCUAGAGGUGAAUCCUACCAACAUCACUGUUUUUUUGUUUUGUUUUGUUUUGUUUUUGAGACAGAGUCUUGCUCUGUCCCCAGGCUGGAGUGCAGUGGCGUGAUCUCGGCUCACUGCAGCCUCAGCCUCCUGGGUUCAAGCGAUUCUCCUGCCUCGGCCUCCCGAGUAGUUGAGACUACAGGCGCGUGCCACCACGUCCAGCUAAUUUUUGUAUUUUUAGUAGAGACGAGGUUUCACCAUGUUGGCCAGGAUGGUCUCGAUCUCUUGACCUCGUGUUCUGCCCGUCUCUGCCUCCCAAAGUGCUGGGAUUACAGGUGUGAGCUGCUGUGCCCGGCCCCAGCAUCACUUUCAUAGCUUUCUGUCCCUCCUCCUCUGGGCCUCGGUGUAUGAAGCCACUUGCCUUUCUCUGUAGGGAAGCGAGCAGAAUCAGAUUGCUACUCAUGAUGCAGUCUGGGCAGGGCAUACUGUCACCUUUGCCUGUGGACACAGUUGUCAGGAUAGGGGAGAAGCCCUUUAGGUCUGUCUUCUUGACACAGCCCUCCUACCUGGUUACGCUGGUGCUUUCACUUGGUUUAGACAACCAAGACACUUGAGAAUUAUGCUGUCCUCAGAAUGUCUGAUGAAAAGAACAGAUACACUUUUUUGACAAAAUGCCCAUUAGCCAUCUUUGGCAGUGUCUCUAAUCAAAGGUUCCCCAUGCCUGCUCUAGGAAAGUAAACUUUUUUCAGAAUAAAUCCUCAAAUGGAUUACUGAGUAGUCUUUGCACCAUUCCCAUCAGCCUAAUCAGACUGAAUGGUCACGCUCAGUGCAAAAAGCUGUUUUGCUGUCAGGAUGUUUCAGUGUUUCUGGUCUUUCCUGGAACAGUUCAGUUGUUUAAAUUUAGUAAUUCAAUCCUGACCAGUGUAAACCCACUUAAUUAUUGCAGCCUAAAGAAUUCAGCUCCUUCUACUCUUCAUAAAUGUGCCCAAGUAAAUAUGUGUUUUUAAUAUUCAACCCUGGAAAGUUAGUAAUUCAGAUGAUAAAAGCUCAUAAUGUUUUGGUGUCUUUGUACUCAGAUUGUGAACAGGCAUAUUUCACUGAUUUAGACUUAGUAUACUUGAUGAGAAUGCUCAGGUUGAAGAGAUAGUUCUGUCAGCAAUCCAACAUCUAUAGCAAUGUGGAAAAAGUAAUCAACUCAUAUUUCACUAAUUUGAUGUAUGUUGUGAUUUAGAGGGCGUGAGAUAAAGUUUAUAUUUGAACUGUGUGGGGUAGGGGGAAGAAGAGAUUGCUUAAGCAAAUAGUGGAGUGAUUGUGGAACAAGAUGUCUCUAAGAUGAGAAGUUAUUUUCUUGCACCAUAGAAGCACUCUUUUUACCCGGGAGUGAUUGUGUUAACUAUAAAUCAUUUAUAUCUGUACAUUAAAGCAGAUUCCCUCAAUUAGGCAAAUUUGGUUAGCCAAGCCCAAGUUAUUGUUUGUACUUGAAAGUAAUAAAGCUGCAUUUCC